AGGCAGAAAGGGCAAUUUUACAGGAAACCUGCAUUCCUGGAAAGGCAGGUUGGGCUGGGACAUGCCUGUGCCGCUGCUGUCCCCACUCCAUUGGAUGUCAAACGUUUGUUAAACGUCUUUUCUUUGGAGCAAGUAGGAGAUCUGGACCAUGGCUAAAGUCAAUGAGCUCAGCAGCAACCUCUGCCCAUGCCGGACCAGCCACCAGAGGCCUCUCCUUUUCCUGUUGUGACCUGGAAGAUCUAUCCAUUACCUGGUGCUACUUUUCCCUGUAAGGUGCAGGAAAACCAGGAGCCAGCCUGGCCCGAGAAGUCUGUCAACAGCCAAAGACAAAUCUGCAGAUAAAUUCCCAGCUGAGCUGCAAGCAAUUUUCAUUUCAAAUUCACCAAGUCCUUGACAUGUUCUUCUGCCUAGCAAGAAAAACCAGGACAUUUUGGACCAGCAGUUCAGCAGGCAUUCCAUUAUUUCUCAAAGUUAUGUGGCAGUUUGCACUUCUCUGAAGACAGGAAUGAGACAGGAUGCCCAUGCUCCAGGCAUUAAAAAUACAAACAGAAAAGUCACUUUUACUUGUUUUCAUAAAAAUAUUAAUUGACCCUUUUGCUGCUCAUUCAGUGUCCUGUAUUUAAGGAAGUAUUCUUAAUUACAGAAUUUGUC